rnacentral:lncRNA from 10 species
UAGUUUAGAAACAUCCUGAAUGAUAGGUUAGAGAUUGAAUGUAAGUGUACACAAAUAGACAAUGGCCUGAUCACAAUGACAAUAGAACUCUGAUCCAUAACUUUUUCAGCCACCAGCUGAAGAAGCCAGCCACACACUCUGCACCUCUGCAGCAAUCAGUUCAGGAAGUAAAACGUAGACUACAGUAAUUAACCCAGAGUGAUUGGAACUUGCUGACUGACUGUAAGCUUCCUAUUUUUUGUCCCAACUUCCAACUUAGGACCAACCAGAGAAUUCAAAUAUGUUUAUCAAAUCAAUUACCUUGGAUGACCAACUUCUACAUGACCUGCCUUCAGCUUCUCCAUGUCAGUCACCUACAAUCAGGGCAUACCUGAGGCCAUUUGAUUUUUUCUACCGUAAAUAUUUUCUACCUUCCUGCCUGCUUUCAAGUCUCUGAAAAAUUAUGCCUGGAGAAUACACCAAGAUGCCAUCGGUGUUAUAUUCUACCAUGGAACCUGGUUAUCAACUGGGAUGUGGUACACAUGCAGGCACCCUUUGACUUGUUCCUCACAGCUUGAUGAGUCUUGAUUUUCAUGAUAAGUCAGCACCAGAUCUAAACUUCACUCUGUUUGCAUGAAGUUCCUUGGCUACUUAUUCUUUUCUCACUGCUAUAAAGGAAUACCUGAGACUGGGUAAUAUAUAAAGAAAAGAAGUUUAAUUGACUCACAGUUCCACACUGCUGGGGAGGCCUCAGGAAACCCACAAUCACGGCAGAAGGCAAAGGCACAUCUUACAUUGCGGCAGAAGAGAGUGAAUGAGGAAGUGCCACACUUUAAAACCAUCAGCUUUCAUGAGAACUUACUCAUUAUCAUGAGAACAGCAUAGAGGGAACUGUCUCCAUGAUCCAAUCACUUCACACCAGGUCCCUCCCUCAACAUGUAGGGAUCACAAUUCCAGAUGAAAUUUGCGUGGGGGCACAACCAAACCUUAUCACCAGAGUUUUGUUAUUGGUUUCCAUUUGUUUAGCAUUGGUGGUGGAGGAAAGACAUUUCUUCUUGGCACUUUUUGCUCUGUUUCAUUCUUCCAUUUUGUUUUGUGCUAUGUAAAAGUGUUGCUUUCCAUACAAAGAUUAAUGAGGCAGAACUAAGGCAUUAGCAUUAUUAGCCUGUUGGCAUAGGCCUCACAAACCAUUGAGUUCUCUAUUCUCACCACACAGAUGUCCACUUGGAUAACUUUGCUGUUUGUCACCAAUAAAGCUGGA